rnacentral:rRNA from 1 species
CAGCAGCCGCGGGAAUACGAAGGGGGCUAGCGUUGUUCGGAUUUACUGGGCGUAAAGCGCACGUAGGCGGAUCGAUCAGUCAGGGGUGAAAUCCCAGAGCUCAACUCUGGAACUGCCUUUGAUACUGUCGAUCUGGAGUAUGGAAGAGGUGAGUGGAAUUCCGAGUGUAGAGGUGAAAUUCGUAGAUAUUCGGAGGAACACCAGUGGCGAAGGCGGCUCACUGGUCCAUUACUGACGCUGAGGUGCGAAAGCGUGGGGAGCAAACAGGAUUAGAUACCCGAGUAGUCCCUGUCUCUUAUAA